rnacentral:rRNA from 1 species
UACGGAGGGUGCAAGCGUUAUCCGGAUUCACUGGGUUUAAAGGGUGCGUAGGUGGGCAAGUAAGUCAGUGGUGAAAUCUCCGGGCUUAACCCGGAAACUGCCAUUGAUACUAUUUGUCUUGAAUACUGUGGAGGUCAAGCGGAAUAUGUCAUGUAGCGGUGAAAUGCUUAGAAUAUGACAUAGAACACCGAUAGCGAAGGACAGCUUGCUACACAGUUAUUGACACUGAGGCACUGAAAGCGUGGGGAGCAAACAGGA